rnacentral:rRNA from 1 species
UGCAGUCGAACGGUAACAGCAGAGCUUGCUCUGGCUGACGAGUGGCGCACGGGUGCGUAACGCGUAUACAAUCUACCUAUUACUGGAGUAUAGCCCGAAGAAAUUUGGAUUAAUCCUCCAUAGUAUUAUAGAGUGGCAUCAUUUUAUAAUUAAAACUACGGUGGUAAUAGAUGAGUAUGCGUCCUAUUAGUUUGUUGGUAAGGUAACGGCUUACCAAGGCAUCGAUAGGUAGGGGUCCUGAGAGGGAGAUCCCCCACACUGGUACUGAGACACGGACCAGACUCCUACGGGAGGCAGCAGUGAGGAAUAUUGGACAAUGGAGGAAACUCUGAUCCAGCCAUGCCGCGUGCAGGAAGACUGCCCUAUGGGUUGUAAACUGCUUUUAUAGAGGAAGAAACCUCCCUACGUGUAGGAAGCUGACGGUACUCUACGAAUAAGGAUCGGCUAACUCCGUGCCAGCAGCCGCGGUAAUACGGAGGAUCCAAGCGUUAUCCGGAAUCAUUGGGUUUAAAGGGUCCGUAGGCGGGCAGUUAAGUCAGUGGUGAAAGUCUUCCGCUCAACGGGAGAAUUGCCAUUGAUACUGAUUGUCUUGAGUCAUUAUGAAGUGGUUAGAAUGAGUAGUGUAGCGGUGAAAUGCAUAGAUAUUACUCAGAAUACCGAUUGCGAAGGCAGAUCACUAAUAAUGUACUGACGCUGAUGGACGAAAGCGUAGGUAGCGAACAGGAUUAGAUACCCUGGUAGUCUACGCCGUAAACGAUGGUUACUAGCUGUUUGGACGAUUGAGUCUGAGUGGCUAAGCGAAAGUGAUAAGUAACCCACCUGGGGGAGUACGUUCGCAAGAAUGAAACUCAAAGGAAAUUGACGGGGGCCCGCACAAGCGGUGGGAGCAUGUGGUUUAAUUCGAUGAUACGCGAGGAACCUUACCAG